UCAGAAUAAAGUUAGCAGCAGCAACUCUACUAUUGAUCUCCCCUUGGCCUGCCCAGUUGUCUCUUCCCAGUUUCCUUUUGUAGCUGUGACAGUGGCUGUGGCUCUGACUGUUGGAAUUCUCACAUUACUUCUUGCACUGUUUGUCGGUAUUAACCAUCUACUCAAGAAACGAAGAUCCAGAUUUGAUACUUCAGAAAACGGUGACGAGGGUGUUGUAUACGCUGAUGUGAAAAUAGGCAAGCAAACAAAUCCAGC